GGAAGGUAUGCGAAUUGGUGAGCGACCUGAUUCGAAAUCAGGGGCCGGGUGACCGGUUGCGGGUUCGAGUCCCGUGCCUUCCG
rnacentral:tRNA from 3 species